rnacentral:rRNA from 1 species
GACGAACGCUGGCGGCGUGCCUAAUACAUGCAAGUUGAGCGCUGAAGGUUGGUACUUGUACCAACUGGAUGAGCAGCGAACGGGUGAGUAACGCGUGGGGAAUCUGCCUUUGAGCGGGGGACAACAUUUGGAAACGAAUGCUAAUACCGCAUAAAAACUUUAAACACAAGUUUUAAGUUUGAAAGAUGCAAUUGCAUCACUCAAAGAUGAUCCCGCGUUGUAUUAGCUAGUUGGUGAGGUAAAGGCUCACCAAGGCGAUGAUACAUAGCCGACCUGAGAGGGGGAUCGGCCACAUUGGGACGGAGACACGGCCCAAACUCCUACGGGAGGCAGCAGUAGGGAAUCUUCGGCAAUGGACGAAAGUCUGACCGAGCAACGCCGCGUGAGUGAAGAAGGUUUUCGGAUCGUAAAACUCUGUUGGUAGAGAAGAACGUUGGUGAGAGUGGAAAGCUCAUCAAGUGACGGUAACUACCCAGAAAGGGACGGCUAACUACGUG